AUGUCAAUUCUUAGGCCAGCUGUUCUUAACAUAAACGCUGAAGCUGACCCAAAUCAAAACCCUGACUCAAACGCAAAUCCUGGUCCGAACGAAGAAAUUGUUGUCAUGAAUCAGGAACAAUUGCUAGCUGAACUUCAGCACCUCCGUGAUGGCUGUCAUGUCUUGGAUAGGAGAACCCGUGAGGGCCCCUUCCAUUUAAAAAAUUCUGAUAUAAAUUGCAUAUUAGAAUUUAAAGGAGAAACAAACUUGUUACCCCAAUUUGUAAAAACUUGUGAUCAGCUUCACACUGCAUUUUUCAUUGCUGAUGAGCCAAAUCACAUUCAAAAUUCGCGACUUUUACGCGGUAUUUUGUCAAAAAUUAAAGGGCAAGCUCAAAUUCAAAUUGGUAAUUUUGAGUAUACUACACGGCCCCAAUUAAAAGAGAAAUUAACUGAGCUCUUUGGAGACAGAAAGACAGACCGUACGCUUACAAUCGAGUUGUGUCGCAUGUCCCAAAAUUCCAGUGAAAAGGCAAUAGAUUUUUACAAUCGUGUUACUUAUCAGUUGAAUCUGGUAGUCGCUUUCAUGAAUACUCACCGAAGAUUAGCUCAUAAGGAUUUCAUCCAUGAGUUGAGCCUGCAAGUUUUCUUGCGCGGACUUAGAGAUCCUUUGCGUCAGUAUCUGAAAGCCAGAAAUCCAUUGACCUUACCUGAGGCUUUGAACCUCAUGACUAAUGAAUUUCAAUUUGAAAAUUUGGAUGGUUACAAAGAUAGCAAUUAUAGUGGCUCUAGCCAAAAGAAGCCAAAUCAAAAUUUUCAAAAUAAAUCUGGAAAUAAGAAUAAUCAAUCUCAAAAUUAUUCUCAACAAAAUAAGGUUACGGAAACCAAGGGCAAAAUAAGCCAAAUUUCCAGAACCAAAAUAAACCUAAUUAUUUCAAUCAAAAUAAACCAAAUUUUCAAAAUAAAUCAAAUUUUAAUCAAAAUCGUGGUUCAAAUCAAAAAUUCAAUCCGCGACCUAGUGGAAGCAAUAAUGUGCCCACAAACCAGCCGGUCCCGAUAUUAG
rnacentral:lncRNA from 1 species